UACGAAGGGGGCUAGCGUUGUUCGGAAUCACUGGGCGUAAAGGGCGCGUAGGCGGCUUGAUAAGUCGGGGGUGAAAGCCUGUGGCUCAACCACAGAAUUGCCUUCGAUACUGUCGAGCUUGAGACCGGAAGAGGUAAGUGGAACUGCGAGUGUAGAGGUUAAAUUCGUAGAUAUUCGCAAGAACACCAGUGGCGAAGGCGGCUUACUGGUCCGGUUCUGACGCUGAGGCGCGAAAGCGUGGGGAGCAAACAGG
rnacentral:rRNA from 1 species